rnacentral:rRNA from 1 species
GACGAACCGUGCGAACGUUGUUCGGAAUCACUGGGCUUAAAGGGCGCGUAGGCGGGCGGUCAAGUCAGAGGUGAAAUCCCGCGGCUCAACCGUGGAAGCGCCCCUGAUACUGGCCGCCUCGAGGGAGGUAGGGGCGUGCGGAACUUCCGGUGGAGCGGUGAAAUGCGUAGAUAUCGGAAGGAACACCGGUGGCGAAAGCGGCGCGCUGGACCUCUACUGACGCUGAGGCGCGAAAGCCAGGGGAGCAAACGGG